GGGUGGUGCUUGCACUGUCCCUUGGGAGCUGCCUGCCAGCAAAGCAGCUGGUCUCCAAGGCUGGGGGAGACUCACCUUCUGGAGGGUGUUUCUAAAAAUGGCUGUAGUAGAAAAACUCCUUCUGUCCCCGGAGAACAUGGACAAUCACCUCCUCGCCAGGAGCUAGUGCACACUUCCCUCACCCUGCCAGCUUCAGAUGUGGGCUCUGAUAUGCAGAGCAGGGGCAGCUGUCCUACAGGGCCAAAUGAUUCUGCCGCGACUAUCCCAGGCACGGUGAUGAAUUCUGCUGCCCUAAAAGCACUAAAAUAGAAGAGACUUUGUGUCCCUCAGAGGCCAGCCUUCUUAAAGCUCUCUUCACGCUACAGCCAGCUUUGAAGACACUCAGCCCUGUCCCUACCACUAUUCACUGAGAAGAUGGACCACAGUGACUGAUGGAAUUUAUCUGUAACUGCCUUCCAUAUUGACUCCUUGCUCCUGACAAGCCAGCACAUACUGCUCCAGACUGCGACAUAAUGUAGCAUUGUCAUCUUCUUCCAUACACAUAUCAAAGAGGCAGCUCCUAUGUGCAACAUGAGAAAGCAUUUAUUCCUAAUACAUUUGUUAUAGUUUAUUUUUAGCUGCUUUUCACCUUACUCUGAGUUAGUUCCAUUUUCCUGUACUUGCUGACAGAAGAAAGAAGAAAAAAAAUCUCAAAUCCUUGGCAAAUCUGGUCGUUUGUUGUGCAGCUACUGUUAACAUGUUUCAUUUUCCUAUAUACAUGAGCAGUAGACAAGAACCUGACUGUUUGUCACAGUAAGUUAUUCUUCUUUGUUUCAAGCUGCAUGGCUACAUCUUGCUUAGAAAGCACUUCUUAGUACUAAGCCUUCUAUCUGGACUACAGACUUUUCUCAGUAUUUGAGCACCCUCCCCAAGACCAUAUAGCCUGCAUAUUGGCACAGAAUUCUGGUUUGACCAGCAUUCAUUUGCUAGUGCUACAUUCUUAACUUUGCUCAUCAUCUGAAUAUUAACAGCCUGAUUUUCAGAGACAUUGAUAACCAAGGUCAAUAGGAUCUGCAAGUAUGCAAUACUGCAGAAGGAUUGUGUAGUUAUUAGAAAGUUAAAACAGGCUAACCAACCAAAUUCUAGAGAGAGGAGAAAGGUUGGUAUACAUAAAGAAUUGAUAUAUAAAUACCAUAACCAGUAGUCCAGUUAAUUUGGCCUAAGAUACCUUCAUAUUCCUCUUGAAGCUAAGAGAGACUUGGAAGUGGGCAUUAGCUAUCUUUAAACACUAGUUUCAACUACAGAAAACUCAGAACUACUUGGCAAAUUUGUGACUGAUGAAGGCUUAAAGUGAUAGUGACUCAACACAUUUCAUCUGGUUCAAAAGGGGGUAUGCAGGAAUUAGGUAUGCAGAAGGCCAGGGGAGCCCGGAAACCCAGCAGAGGGAACUUUCUUGUGGACACCAACACACUUACUCUUCACUAACCCAUUUUUAGCACUUCUCCAUGCAAGAUAUAAGAAGUGUCUGACAGCUUUAGCCUUUGUGGUUAUAGCAUAAAGGCUACAUUUUAUGAUGCUAGAAUUGCCAAAAGGAACUUAACGGUGCAAGGCACCAAAUUCUUAAUGAACAUGGAUAAGAACUUUAAGCACACUGGAAAUUGCAAAUUACAGGUAUAAUGUUUAACACUGAUGGUUUCUUUAUCUGUGUAGCAAAUGGGAAAGCUACUUUCCAGAGUUAAUAGAAAACUAAAAUCCUAACUAGAUGGAAAGAUGGAUCAUCACAAUUUUUAAAAAACAAAUAAGAGUAGUAUCAAUAAUGACAUAAUGGGGUCCAACUUAUUAUCCUUGAUUCCUGUUUAAUAUCCUUGAAACUGAAGAUGCACAGCUCUUCUCAGAAAAAAGCAUCAAGCUGAUUUUGGAAAUGGGGAGAACAGUUGUCUGCAGUGGAGACUUACGUGAAAUAGAAACCUAUUUUUAUCGCAGCCUUGGAAGAGCCCUGGAUCUGGUUCCUCUUCAGAGUCAUCUUCAGAAGUGACAUCUCGCCUGCAAAUAAAGUCAUUGUGAAACCAUCA